rnacentral:rRNA from 1 species
AUACAGAGGGUGCGAGCGUUAAUCGGAAUUACUGGGCGUAAAGCGCGCGUAGGCGGCUACUUAAGUCAGAUGUGAAAUCCCCGGGCUCAACCUGGGAACUGCAUCUGAUACUGGGUAGCUAGAGUUUAGGAGAGGGAAGUAGAAUUACAGGUGUAGCGGUGAAAUGCAUAGAGAUCUGAAGGAAUACCAGUGGCGAAGGCGGCUUCCUGGCCUAAAACUGACGCUGAGGUGCGAAAGCGUGGGUAGCAAACGGGAUUAGAAACCCCUGUAGUCC